CGGUAAAAAUGAACCAUUUUUUGGUUUUCUAUCUUCAAAUAAGUUAUUCCUUCUCGAAGGUGAUGUUUUAAGGCAGGGUUCAAUGCAUAUGGAGGAUUGGCACCCAAUUAAUUAUUUUAAAAAGAAUAAAACACGCCGUUUGGGUCCGUAAAGGCUUCAAGCCUUCGCUCUCUUCUCGGUAUCUCACGGUUUCUAUUUUCUCAGGCUCUCUUUUUUUUUUUUUUUUGUAUAUCUCGCAAUCGUCGACUUUAUCUCUCAAUUCCUGUUACUAAUUUUAUUUUUCGUCUCUAUCGGUAAGCCCUAGCCACUCUUAAUUCUCUUAAUUGCGUCGAGAGAUCGAAAAGAAAUCCGUGCAUCGCUCGAUUUUUCACCAAUAUUUCUAGGGUUUAUUCUCUCCAUCUUUUGCUUUAAUUUCUACAAUUAUUUCCCCCUAAAAUUUUCGAGCUACAUACCGCGAAAUCGAGAAUCUGAUACGUUUUUGUUUGGUUAUUUAACUUUGCUUUACUGCUUUUAUUUUAUUGGUUAAUUUCAUAUUGGUUAUUACCCUAGAAUCUGGGGUUAAAUACUCUCUCUCUCUCUCGAUUUGGGCCUGAACGUGGUUACCUCAAGGGUCUAGGGUUUAUAAGUAAACAAAAUAGCGGGAAUUUAUUGAAUUGGGAAUUAGGUGUUUUUGAAAUUUCUACAUGGCUGCUGGGAGACAUGGGGGAUAUAGUGAUUCCGAGUUUAGAGACAGAGACUCUGAUUUUGAGAUGACAAGGCAGGAAUUUCCUAAUUCUAGGGAGUAUGAGUUAUCUAGGAAUGGUGGCCGUGAUGUUGCAAGGGCCCGAUUAUGGGAAGCUAGGGAUAGAGCUAGGGCUAGACAGAAAGGUAUUAAAGAGAGGGACGUGAUAAAUGGUGGGUAUCGUUCCUCUUCGAGUAGAAGUGAUUCUGGUGGUAAUAGUGGUGGUGGUGGUAGUCAUGGCCUCAGGCGACGUGAAUUCUCUCUUAGGGUGGUAGACAAGGAGCCUGGUGAGUUGUCUAGUGAGAGUGGAUCAGAGGAUGCAAUUGAGUCUGAGUCGGUGGUUAAAGAUAGUGAGGUUGAGAAGGUAAUGGAGAAUGGGGCUUUAUCUCCUGUGGGGAGGAAGAGGAAGUUUUCACCUAUUGUGUGGGAUAGAAGUGACAAGGAUGUAAGUAUGUCCAAAAGUAAGAAUUCACCUGUAGUUACAGUCGUUCAUCAUCCACCACCACGGCCAAAAGCUUACCACAAGUCACCUAACAGUAUAUCUGGUAAGGCUGUACAGACAUCUUUUGUUAUAGAAAAUAAAAGCCAGAAACCACAUUCUCCUUCACCAGUUGUAUUUGAUGGACCUGUUGGAUACUCUGCACUGCAGUCUCCAGAGGAUUUGGAUUUUUCACCACCAAAGGAGCAUGUUAAUUUUCAGGAUGCUAGGCAUCUAGAAGAUGAGGAUUAUGUACCGGCUCGACAUAUAUCUUCCUCUAGAUGGGCAGCCGGUGAUAACUCUCCAGGUGACGAGGGUGAAAUUUUAGAAGAUGAGGAAAUCCCUAAAAGGAGAAAAAAGUUGCCCCUUUUAGAAUUAUCUCACCACAGAUUACGGAAAAUGUCAGCUACUCCAGAGCUUGGGGAACUGAAGAGGGAGGGCUCUGAGGGAAUUAGAGCCAGAUCAUCUGAAUCUGAUGAACAAGGUGCCCGUUCCAAGUCCGGAAGUGGGGAUGAUUACCCUGGUAAUGAUUCAGAGAAUGAUGACUUGAUGGUGAUUGACAUUAAACGUGAUAGAAAUGACGGCAGUCUUAGCCAGUCUGACACAGAAUCUGAGAAUGAGACUAAUUCACGUGGGACACCUGAACCUUCAGCUCCUCCUUUAAGAAGUGUAAACAUGCUUCAGGGAUGCAGAAAUGUUGACGAAUUUGAGAGGCUAAACAAGAUAGAUGAAGGUACUUAUGGUGUUGUAUAUAGAGCUAAGGACAAGAAAACUGGGGAAAUUGUGGCGUUGAAGAAGGUAAAGAUGGAGAAAGAAAGAGAAGGUUUUCCUUUGACCUCUCUGAGGGAAAUAAAUAUUCUUCUUUCAUUUCAUCAUCCAUCAAUUGUAGAUGUUAAAGAAGUAGUUGUAGGGAGUAAUCUUGAUAGCAUUUUUAUGGUGAUGGAAUACAUGGAACAUGAUCUGAAAGGGCUGAUGGAGACAAUGAAACAACCGUUUAGCCAAAGUGAAGUUAAAUGCCUGAUGCUUCAGCUGCUGGAGGGUGUCACGUAUCUUCAUGAUAACUGGGUUCUCCAUCGGGACUUGAAGACAUCUAAUCUUCUUUUAAAUAACCAAGGUGAACUGAAGAUUUGUGAUUUUGGGUUGGCUCGUCAAUAUGGAAGCCCAUUAAAACCAUAUACUCAUUUGGUUGUUACUCUUUGGUACAGGGCCCCUGAGCUUCUUUUGGGAGCAAGACAAUAUUCCACUGCAAUUGACAUGUGGUCUUUGGGUUGUAUUAUGGCUGAACUACUAUCAAAAGAACCACUUUUCAAUGGGAAAACUGAAUUUGAUCAACUUGACAAGAUUUUCAGAACUCUUGGCACGCCAAAUGAGACAAUAUGGCCUGGUUUUUCUAUGUUGCCUGGAGUCAAAGUCAAUUUUGUCAAGCAUCAGUAUAAUCUAUUGCGCAAGAAAUUUCCAGCAACAUCAUUCACAGGAACACCUGUUCUCUCUGAUGCAGGAUUUGACUUACUGAAUAAACUUCUAACUUAUGACCCUGAGAAGCGUAUUACAGCUGAAGCUGCUCUAAACCAUGAGUGGUUUUGCGAAGUUCCUCUUCCUAAGACCAAAGCUUUCAUGCCCACUUUUCCUGCUCAGCAUGCUCAAGACAGGCGUAUAAGAAGAAUGUUGAAGAGUCCAGAUCCUUUGGAAGAGCAAUGCAGAAAGGAGUUGCAGCAAGGGGAAUUUGGGACUGGUGGUUUGUUUGGCUGAGAGAAAGUUCAUUCAUUAGUGCCAUUUAAUGUUCAUGUUUUAGUUUUUCACAUUAUUGUUAAAUGGCCUUAAUUGAGGUGAGGGACUUGCAUUCAACGAAGUUGCAAGCUUUGCUUGUCAGACCAUCAUUCUUGCUGUUUCUUAGCAGGAAUUGUUGAUUUGGUUGGAGAUAGUGUUUGCCUCUUCAUGUGAACCAGAUGUUUCACAGACGGUUGAUGUGGAGGGGACGUUCUUUGCUUUUCAUUGACGAAGAUAUUGAUAGUAACCAUUGUACACCAAAGGGGGUUCCCAUGAUAAAAAGUUGCCGCUUGGAUAAUGUUCAUGUUUAUGGUUUCGUAGAACACUAUUUUCUUGAGUUGGGAAGAAAAUUUUAGUAGUUGAGAUGUGCAAAUGAUUCCUCUCUUCCCUAUGGACUUGUUCAAGAUUUGUUAUUUUGUGCUUGUGUUUGCUUUUCAUUUGGAAAAAAGUGUAUUAAACUCUAUUUAUUGUUGUCAAAGGAGUUGGCUUCUGUACUAUUUUUCAUAAGUUUUUAAUUUCAUUAUUCAUGUGUUGAUUUAUCAACCCAGUUUUACAAUUCGAUUGACUCUAGUAACUGUCUAUGACUGGACAACUUAUCAGAGGAAGGUAUCUACUGCUAAUAAAGUAAAAGAACAUAUAGUUUUUUUUCCCGUUAUCUGAUUAUACCAAACGGUAGAGCUUGUACUGUUCCAUGGAUGAACAAUUUGAUCUGUUUUGAUGCUUAAGUUGGCCUUUGUUUUUUUGGGGAAAAAAAUGAUGCUUAUUCCCUCUAACCACAGCCACAGAAAAUAAAAUGAACGGAAUUAUAGAAGGAAAUGAGUUAUGGUAGGGAUGCUGAUUUCAUUCAAUUUACACUUUUGUAAGUAAUUUGAGUUCAGCAAGGUUAAGCAGUGAUGCUAGGUCCAUGAGUUAGCCUUUAGUUGACUUUCUUAUAUCUAUCAACUCCAUUAUUUUUAACUUCGUUGAUUUUAUUAUACCUGUUGAAUGUAAGUUGUUCAGCUAUUGACACAUCCCCUAGAGAUGUGAAAGUUAAUGCAUAGUUUGCUAUUUCCAUUUUAUUAUGUUUCAAUUAUGGUCUGAGACAUUCAAGCUGUAAUUAGCUCUGGAAUAUUUUAUGACAUAUCUGCGAAUGUCACUGCAG